UAUGGCCUACUCUAUGGUCUACCGAUGGUCAGAUUUUUAAAAACAUAAAAAUAAAAUCAGUAAGAGUCGAAAGAAUACGCUGGCGUACAAUUCUAUGUCUCUGAAAAUGGUAUACUAAGAGGUCGCUAACACGAUUUUUGAGGUCCGAGAGUACUAAACAGAGCAAAUAUCACAGCAUUCACCCGGGCAUUCAACCCUAACGGUAGCGGGGGAGGGGAGAGGACGGGCUAAUGUUGCGUGGUCGCAGAGCAUAUGCAAAAUGGCGGCUUCACCACAUAGGCCGUCAGUUGGUAACAUAGUGGAGUGCUAGUGUAAAAAUGUAAUGAACGGCGUUACAUCGGAGAACAUAUUCAGUGACAUCCCUGGAAGACGAUCAGCCCAUACAAAAGUGGCAGUGGAGCUGUUCUCUUUUCUGGAUUUUGGUCCAACAGGAUCAUCUGAGACAGACCUGUGAAUACCGUUGGACAAAGGGAUCAUGUGAAAUGGCAUUUGUUCUUUCAGAUGUAGAGAGGGAAAGGUGCAUCUGAUACUUGAAACUCCAUCUCCCCCUCCCCCUGUAUGAGAAGAUUUAGGGAUUCAGAAAGAGUGUUUUAAGUGCGGGGGAAGAGGAAAGAGAGGGGGCUGUGGUAGCCGUGGUGGGUGAGGCCCCCACAGUGGACAGGAUUGCCAUGCCUACCACAUCACCCUAAAUUUAAAUUAAAUGUAUUAAAAUGAAAUCAACUAUCUCUCGUUCAUUUUGUUAAUGUCAUUGCAGGAAAUGAACUCAGCUAUAACUGCAAAUAAUAACUUAUUACCAAGCCUGAAGGCCACUUUAGAGAAUAUUUUCCAGAGGUCUUCACAAAUACAACUGAGGGCCAAUAUUCCUCCAUAGGGCUUUACAUUUGGUGCCUUUCAAAAGAAAAAAUUUACGGGUUACCAUCUUUGGGAAAGUGGAAAUGGUCUGUAGGGCAAAAUAUUGAACAAUUAUGAACCAAAUAAGCAUGCAUGUAUUUACUUCAAUACCACCUUGCCAUAUAAUAGUGCAAAUUAAAGUUUAAUUUCCUACUUGUUUAAAAAUGGCAUAGUUCCCAGUACUGAGGAUGUAACCCGUCACAGACCCAACAUUUUCCCAGAAUUGUGGGGUUCUUGGAGCAAAUAAAUGAUACUCAUUCAGUCAUUCCUCCUAAUUACUAUUCAACUGUGCUUCGCAGAGUGCAAAUAACGCCCUACACAAGCACAA